rnacentral:rRNA from 1 species
GACGAACCGUGCAAACGUUGUUCGGAAUCACUGGGCUUAAAGGGCGCGUAGGCGGGCGCGCCAGUCAGGGGUGAAAGCCCACGGCUUAACCGUGGAAGUGCCUCUGAUACUGCGAGCCUCGAGGGAGGUAGGGGCGUGCGGAACUUCCGGUGGAGCGGUGAAAUGCGUAGAUAUCGGAAGGAACACCGGUGGCGAAAGCGGCGCGCUGGACCUCUUCUGACGCUGAGGCGCGAAAGCCAGGGGAGCGAACGGG